rnacentral:rRNA from 1 species
GACGAACGCUGGCGGCGUGCUUAACACAUGCAAGUCGAACGGAAAGGCCCUGCUUUUGUGGGGUGCUCGAGUGGCGAACGGGUGAGUAACACGUGAGUAACCUGCCCUUGACUUUGGGAUAACUUCAGGAAACUGGGGCUAAUACCGGAUAGGAGCUCCUGCUGCAUGGUGGGGGUUGGAAAGUUUCGGCGGUUGGGGAUGGACUCGCGGCUUAUCAGCUUGUUGGUGGGGUAGUGGCUUACCAAGGCUUUGACGGGUAGCCGGCCUGAGAGGGUGACCGGCCACAUUGGGACUGAGAUACGGCCCAGACUCCUACGGGAGGCAGCAGUGGGGAAUAUUGCACAAUGGGCGGAAGCCUGAUGCAGCAACGCCGCGUGCGGGAUGACGGCCUUCGGGUUGUAAACCGCUUUCGCCUGUGACGAAGCGUGAGUGACGGUAAUGGGUAAAGAAGCACCGGCUAACUACGUGCCAGCAGCCGCGGUGAUACGUAGGGUGCGAGCGUUGUCCGGAUUUAUUGGGCGUAAAGGGCUCGUAGGUGGUUGAUCGCGUCGGAAGUGUAAUCUUGGGGCUUAACCCUGAGCGUGCUUUCGAUACGGGUUGACUUGAGGAAGGUAGGGGAGAAUGGAAUUCCUGGUGGAGCGGUGGAAUGCGCAGAUAUCAGGAGGAACACCAGUGGCGAAGGCGGUUCUCUGGGCCUUUCCUGACGCUGAGGAGCGAAAGCGUGGGGAGCGAACAGGCUUAGAUACCCUGGUAGUCCACGCUGUAAACGGUGGGUACUAGGUGUGGGGUCCAUUCCACGGGUUCCGUGCCGUAGCUAACGCUUUAAGUACCCCGCCUGGGGAGUACGGCCGCAAGGCUAAAACUCAAAGGAAUUGACGGGGCCCCGCACAAGCGGCGGAGCAUGCGGAUUAAUUCGAUGCAACGCGUAGAACCUUACCUGGGUUUGACAUGGAUCGGGAGUGCUCAGAGAUGGGUGUGCCUCUUUUGGGGUCGGUUCACAGGUGGUGCAUGCCUGUCGUCAGCUCGUGUCGUGAGAUGUUGGGUUAAGUCCCGCAACGAGCGCAACCCUUGUUCACUGUUGCCAGCACGUUAUGGUGGGGACUCAGUGGAGACCGCCGGGGUCAACUCGGAGGAAGGUGGGGAUGACGCCAAGUCCUCAUGCCCCUUAUGUCCAGGGCUUCACGCAUGCUACAAUGGCUGGUACAGAGAGUGGCGAGCCUGUGAGGGUGAGCGAAUCUCGGAAAGCCGGUCUCAGUUCGGAUUGGGGUCUGCAACUCGACCUCAUGAAGUCGGAGUCGCUAGUAAUCGCAGAUCAGCAACGCUGCGGUGAAUAAAUUCCCGGG